GAGAGUGUAAAAAGAUUCUUGCUUGCUUGUUUAACAAACCCGCUUCUCCCCCGCUACGCUGAUAAACCCUCUCGAUUAAGGAGGGGCUUCCUGUCAGUGUAGCUGGGGGAGGUAUCUAGCGCUCACACGGUCACGACAGCUCUCAGUGACAGGUCGCAGGGGUAGCGCGCAGAAAGGCGAGAUAGGAGAAAGCUAAUAGAGAACAUUUGAUUUCACGGGUUUCUCUGUCAAAAAGAAUGCUAAAAACUUUUGUCAUAGGGUGGAUGGACAAGAAUGCUGAAAUUUUUGUUUUACAGGGACGCGUCUGCUCCAGAUCAGAUAAAUACUUUUGACUGUUAGGACCCGGGAGGGGGGAGGGGGCGCAUCUGCACCGAAUAGAUAAGCCGCUGAGGGUUAGGGAGACACUUUAGACCUGACUUUGGCGUCCGAGGGGAAGGGGCUCCCGGAAUAAACAAAGAUCACGUGGUGAAAAUAUCACGUCAUAAGGCGGGACUUCCUGUAAAAGAGCACGUGAAUCAAAAUGCUUUGGGCCAACAAAACCAAAAUGCCAAUACGACGCCGGAAAAUGACAAGGAAAAGGUUAUUCAAGUUCAGAAACUCACUGAAGAUUAUCGAUGACCUGGAUGAAACAGAGGGAACAAAGAAGAAAGGCAUUCUGGAGUGAAUAAGGCAAGGCUGCCUUAGCCUCCCAAAACCAAGGAAAGUCUGCAUCGAUGAGCAAAUGAUCCCUUUUGCGGGCCGCUGUCCCAUCAUCAGGCAGUUUGUUCCAUGCAAGCCACACCCUACUGGCUGGAAGGUAUAUGUACUAAUUUCUCCAGUUGGUCUGACGCUGGACUUUUAAGUAUAUCAAGGGAAGGAUACAUUUGCUGGUCAAAGAAUGGGAAAUGGUGGCAGCAUCAGUCCUUGGCAUGGUUGAAACUGUUCACACAGAAAGUCAUCUAUCACUUGGCUAGCAGACCUAAGAAAUGGACGUGCAUGUGAUUGUUCAUUUCUUUGAUGUUACCAUCACAAAUUCCUGGAUCCAAUACAAGUCUGAAAGCAUAGUGCUUAACCACUCAAUGAAAAACACUGAACAGUUCCUGGACUUCAAACUGAAUCUGGCAACUUAGCUCCUGAUACUUAGAACCUGAAGACACUGACAAAAGAGUAGACGACAGUGAAGAGAGUGAAAAAGAGUAUGAGUCACCCAUUAAAAAGAGGAUUCCACAAUCAGAAGCAUUGUUCCAAAAAUAUGGGGCCAGGCAUAUGCCAGAGAAGGUAGACUGCAACCACGCAAAGACCAAGAAGAAUUUAAUGAAUGAAGAAAAGAAAGAGGAAGGGCAGAACAAAAGGAGGAGGAGCUACCAGAUUCAAACUUGUGCUACACAGGCCUCCAGACUAUUGAGAGAUUAAUUUAUGUUGCUGUUCAGUUUAAUUUAGAAAGUUCUAUUCGAAAAUUGUAAGAUUUCUUGAUAUGUGUUUUGUAAAUGUUUUUUCCACCAAUUAUAACCGUAAGAUUAUAAUAAUGUUUCUCCACCAAUAUUAAUGUAGGGUUAAUGUUUGCUCAAAUGGGGUUAAGGGUUUUAUACAGAAUUAUUAUACAGUCUACCUGAUAUUCGACCAGCGAAGUAUUUAGAAUAGACAAAUAUAAUAAUUAGCCUAUGAAACACUUCUUGCUGCGCUGUCAAGAAGAGCUUCAGGAAUUGUAAGGGGAAUUAUUUAGCUUCAGAGGUUAUGUAUAAAAUUGAGGUAGCUGGAAUCUAUGCAAGUUAGGGACCAAAAUGUAAACAACAAAACAAUUGAGGCACUGAACUUAUAUUUGUGUACAUUUAUUAAGUUAAACUAAAUAAUAACAACAACAAUAACACACAUUAAGACGAACAACAACAACACAAAACAAAUAAGAUGGUGAGAUGUGAAUGAUGGGAAAAGGGAGGAAGAGAACACAAUAUUUCAAUGUAACACUGGGAUUAAUAUUACACUUGAAAUAUGGAGUUCUGAGGGAAAAGGGAUAACUAGACCACACCUGAAAGCAGCCGUCAAUUUGGUAGUAGGCUAUUCUGUUAGCCUGUAAACUUUAUCUUUGAAAAGAUAAUUUGAGGAAGUUGCACCAAGUUCCAGUGACUGAAAGGUACUUGCGUGCCGUGAUGACAAUGAUGAUGAUGAUGAUGAUGAUGAUGCUUCGGUGCAUGGUCCAGUCGGCCUUUGUUGAUGUGGGUCAGAACAACGGUGGACAGAGUUGAGCCUCGGAGUCUGGAGAACUCUUGGGUUGGAAGCCUCUGAUGACAAAGGAGAGUUUGUUCUUCGAACAGAGGAUUCUGAUGGUGCAGGAGUACUCUUGCCUGUGAUGGUGAAAGGGGGCUCCAAGUAGGAAAAGAGACUCCAAGUGGUGAAACAGACUCCUCCGGUUGGACUCCUGAUGUUACAUGGGAAAAGCGACUCCCGAUGGUAAAACAGGCUCCUGAUGGACUCUCAGGUGGUGAAAAAAGACUCUACAUGAUAAAACAGACUCAGGGUGGCAAAAGAGGUCUCGGGGUGGUAAAAAGAGACUCGACCUGGUAAAACAGACUCUACGUGGUGAAAAAGGACUCCAAGUGGUGCUUUCAGUGCUCUAACGGAUCUGGAUGCAACAGUUUCCAUCAUCAUGGUGAUUUGUCAGGUCUGCUGUCCGCUCAUUUCAGCCGUUCUGUUUCGUGUUAAGAAAAAAGUGUGUAUCAAUGGAUGAUUUUUUUCUUUUUUGUAUUCCACCACAAUAUUGCACGGUUGUAAAACAGUUUAGCUCCUCUUUGGUAAAGAACAUCAGUGAAUUAAUUGUCUAUCACGGUCUUCAGCAGUAAUUUUUGUUGGUAAAUGAGAGACAUUAGUAUCGCACGUGUCUGCAUCUUCAAACCAUAAACAGGAAGUGAAUUCGGUGAUGUACGCGCAUUACGUUUGUGCUGGGAGCUGCUAUGAUUGGUGGAACUCAUGGGAGGCGGGCCACAAUUACGGAAAAGUUGCGGUGAUUGGACAAAAUUGCAAGGCCGCGCAAAAUUCGCGGAGAUUGGUUGAUUUUGCGUGAUUUCGCGCAAUCGCAACAUGGCGAAUUGUCAUUGUUUUUUAACAGUGAUAUUGCUCUGUUGUCCAGUACAGUGGACAUGCUGUAAAAUCUAAAAUAGAAAUAAUUUUUAAAAAUUCUAAAUUGAGAGUUGUUGUUUUAGCUCCAUAAAGCCAGGAAAUCACAAAAAAGUUAAACUGAAAGAUAUUUUUUUCCUCAUUUCUCAGGACACAACAGCAAAGGUCCUUUGUGGAGGAAGUGCUAAAGAUUGUGGAUUGUGUAGCUUCAACUGACAUUCCUGAUGAGGAAAAAAUCCUUACAUCCCUCCGUGAAACAGUGCAUAUCCAAUCUUAUGACACAGCACGUGACUUUAUCAAAACAUUUCAAAAUAAAAAUGACUUUAAUGUA